rnacentral:tRNA from 6 species
UCGGGAUAUAGCGCAGUUUGGUAGCGCGCCUGCUUUGGGAGCAGGAUGUCGCAGGUUCAAGUCCUGCUAUCCCGAU